AUCAAGGAGAGAAGCAACCUGGAACUAGGAGGAAUUUUCUGACAUGGAGAACAAUUAACCAGUGGAACAACUUGCCUUCAGAAGUUCUGGGUGCUCCAACACUGGAGGUUUUUAAGAAGAGACACAACAGCCAUUUGAAAUGGUAUGGGGGAGGAGCAAUGAGUACC